CCUACGGGUGGCAGCAGUGAGGAAUAUUGGUCAAUGGGCGGGAGCCUGAACCAGCCAAGUCGCGUGAGGGAAGACGGUCCUAAGGAUUGUAAACCUCUUUUGCCGGGGAGCAAAGGGGUCCUUGCGAGGGCCCGAUGAGAGUACCCGGAGAAAAAGCAUCGGCUAACUCCGUGCCAGCAGCCGCGGUAAUACGGGGGAUGCGAGCGUUAUCCGGAUUUAUUGGGUUUAAGGGGUGCGUAGGCGGGCUUUUAAGUCAGCGGUCAAAUGUCGGGGCUCAACCCCGGCCUGCCGUUGAAACUGGCGGCCUCGAGUGGGCGAGAAGUAUGCGGAAUGCGUGGUGUAGCGGUGAAAUGCGUAGAUAUCGAGAGGAACCCUCGUGGCGAAGGCGGGUUCCUGGACAGUAACUGACGCUGAGGCACGAAGGCCAGGGGAGCGAAAGGGAUUAGAUACCCGGGUAGUC
rnacentral:rRNA from 1 species